GAUGAACGCUGGCGGCGUGCUUAACACAUGCAAGUCGAACGGUGAAGGCGGAGCUUGCUCUGCUGGAUCAGUGGCGAACGGGUGAGUAACACGUGAGCAAUCUGCCCCUGACUCUGGGAUGAGCGCUGGAAACGGCGUCUAAUACUGGAUACGAGCUGCGAAGGCAUCUUCAGCAGCUGGAAAGAAUUUCGGUCAGGGAUGAGCUCGCGGCCUAUCAGCUUGUUGGUGAGGUAAUGGCUCACCAAGGCGUCGACGGGUAGCCGGCCUGAGAGGGUGACCGGCCACACUGGGACUGAGACACGGCCCAGACUCCUACGGGAGGCAGCAGUGGGGAAUAUUGCACAAUGGGCGAAAGCCUGAUGCAGCAACGCCGCGUGAGGGACGACGGCCUUCGGGUUGUAAACCUCUUUUAGCAGGGAAGAAGCGAAAGUGACGGUACCUGCAGAAAAAGCGCCGGCUAACUACGUG
rnacentral:rRNA from 1 species